GGGGAAUAUUGGACAAUGGGGGCAACCUUGAUCCAGCGAUGCCGCGUGAGUGAUGAAGGCCUUCGGGUUGUAAAGCUCUUUUGCACGCGACGAUGAUGACGGUAGCGUGAGAAUAAGCCCCGGCUAACUCUGUGCCAGCAGCCGCGGUAAUACAGAGGGGGCUAGCGUUGUUCGGAAUGACUGGGCGUAAAGGGCGCGUAGGUGGCUCUACAAGUCAGAUGUGAAAGGCCUAGGCUUAACCUGGGGAUGGCAUUUGAGACUGUAAAGCUAGAGUCCGGGAGAGGAUAGCGGAAUUCCUAGUGUAGAGGUGAAAUUCGCAGAUAUUAGGAAGAACACCGGUGGCGAAGGCGGCUAUCUGGAACGGAACUGACACUGAGGCGCGAAAGCGUGGGGAGCAAAC
rnacentral:rRNA from 1 species